rnacentral:lncRNA from 1 species
AGUGUCCAUGGUUAAUAGACCUUCCAGGUCGACUACUUUGGUGAUGGAUUCUACAACAUGCGCCGGCCAUCGCAUAAAUUUUUGGAGGCUCGAAAUAUUUAUUUACUGAUCAUGCAAAAAUUACAUGUUUUUUCUGUAUUUUUUUAUCAUUUAACUACUUCAGGUUAAACAUAUUUAAUUUCGGAGUUUUCUAUUGAUGUGAGCUCAAAAAGAUACGUUCAGUUUGAUGAGAUAUAUAAUCAAAUUAACUAUGUUUAAACCUUGCAACAUAUAUAUUAUAUAUUAUUUGAGAAGUAAAUUUGCUUAU